GAGAGAGAGAGAGGAGGGAUUCCGUUGGGGCCAAGAAACCCUAGAUAAAUAGACGGAUGGAGGGUCCGAGAGCGGCAUGGGACGAGACUGGGACUGGGGGAGUGGAUGGGGCCUCUCCGGCUCCUCCUGCUUCCUCUCUAUUCUAUGUAAGGAAGGUUAGGGGAGAGAAGUUUAGAAAAAAGAGAGAUCAGAUCCAAGUCUGACGAUGUUUCCAACCCCACCUCUCUCUCCUUUUUCUCGCUUCAGCCUUUGUUUCUUCCUUCGAUCUGGCUCUUUUCUUGAAAUGGAAAUCAUGAGAUUUUCGGUGCAGAUAUAGGGGAUUCCGUCGGUCUUCCAAUUUUCUUGCUUUUUUUUGCCUCUCUCUCUCUCUCUGUCUGUCUAUCUAAAGGCGUGUGGAGGGUGGUGGGGUUGGGGGGCUGACAGAAGAGAGUGAGCACACAGCGAGGCAAUUGCAUCAGGGAAUGCCGUUCCGGUUGCGUGCUCGCUUCUCUUUCUGUCAACCUUUCUCUCCUGGAACCGAUCUACCUACUAUCUCCACCGUCUUUGCUUCUUUUGUUUUUAUUUUUCUUUUCUUGGAACGGGAAUGGGUGGUCUCACGAUAUUUGAUGGGAAAGAAGACCACGCGUGCAGUCUUUCCUCAAACUCUGAUCCCGUUCCCCCUUCUGAUGUGAUAUGUUGAUGAUAACUCUCUCACCCUCUCCCCAUUUGUCGCCUGUCCGACUCCGAGACGUCUUCUCAGGCUCGCUUCUCUAUGGAUGGCGGGAUUCCGAGGAACCGAUGCAUGGUGAUUGGGUGGGAGAUUGUAGAGGAGAAUUGGAGCAAGGUGGGGAAAGAAUUAGGCGUACUGCACGGAUCGGAUUAGGGUGAGCACCCUCUGAUUCAAAAGGAAAAUCGCUGGCUGUUUGACCGGUCGUUUCUCUUCUUAUUUUCUUUUUCUUUUUCCUCUUCUUGUCCUUCUCUUUCUCUGAUCUUUUACUAUCUUUGGCGAGGAUUGGCGAUCUUGAAACCCAGUCUCGAAAAGAUCUCGCAGUUGCUUGACUGAAAUUAUCAUCUCAUGCGUUUCUCGGUUUAUUGCGUAAAGAAGAAAGAGGAGUUUGGGAUCGAUGAUGAUCUUGACUUGUCUUGUGCUGUUUUAAGAGGAAUGAAAGGGAGCCGCAGUGGGACUUCGACUGCUUCUUGAAGCAACGGACUCGAUCCGAGUUUCCAUAUCCGGUUGGUGGUUCAUUUUUUGGAUCAUGCCAGGAAGACAUGCGAUGCUCCAGCUGCGGCUGCGGCUGUCAGGGUUGCUUAUAUGUGUGAAGUGGAUUGAGAAGCAAAAGAAAGUGUAUUAUUUUUAUUACAUGAUAUUUCCCCGGACUAUAAGAAUUAUGCAUUACUGGGUCUACCAACAAGGAUAUAGGGGCGUGCAUAGUUGAUAAAGUUGCUCAAUAAAUCUGAUUGGAACUAAAGAUAUGCUCCAACAAUUUUCCUAGAGGACAGGAUAUUAAGAAUUUUUUUUUUAAAUUUUGUUCAUCACAUUUAUCUAUCUGCAAACUUGAAACAAGAUUCAUAUGCUUUCAUUUAAUCGAUCUAUCUACACUUGCAAUCGUUUCUUUUUGGUAUUUUGUUGGACACGGUUGAAGAUGCCCACUGAGAUACUCGUGGGAACCCCAAUCCAAUCAAUGUACUUGUGGUGGCUGUAAAAAUAGAAUCUGUUGUCAGUCCCAUUCAGCAGUUACCUACUGUAGCUGCUUUAAAAGAGCUUUAAUUGGCCACCUUUAUUAAACUAGAUAUUAUAAGUUCUUUUUCAACAGUGUGUGUGAAUCAAAAGAGGUAACUAGUGAUGCUCGUAAGUUGUGUUUGUUGUUCCCAGUCUGUCUCCUCAUAUAUAUAUAUGUUUUUUAAAGUUAUGACUUAAUGCAAAACAAAUCAUGCACUAUAAUUAUUUUUAUCAACACUAAAACAAGCUUGG